UACGUAGGUGGCAAGCGUUUGUCCGGAUUUACUGGGCGUAAAGAGCGCGCAGGCGGUCGUUCAAGUCGCGUGUGAAAGCCCCCGGCUCAACUGGGGAGGGUCACGCGAUACUGAUCGACUCGAAGGCAGGAGAGGGUAGUGGAAUUCCUGGUGUAGCGGUGAAAUGCGUAGAUAUCAGGAGGAACACCAGCGGUGUAGACGGCUUUCUGGACCAUGCUGACGCUGAGACACGAAAGCGUGGGUAGCAAACAGG
rnacentral:rRNA from 1 species